rnacentral:lncRNA from 1 species
UCUCCAAUUCACCAUGUCUUCUCCGGUGCAGAACAGCACCGCCACCACUCUUUCUCCUCCUCCUCUCCCCCCACCACCUCCGCCGCCUAACAAUUGGGGGCCGUACUCUGGCGCCAAGGACUUCGACGCCAACAUGGUUAGCAUCCUCGUCGUGCUCGUGUGCGCGGCGGCGCUCACCUUCGCCCUCCACGCCGCCUUCCGCCUCCUGCGCCGCCGCUGCCUCCCCCGGUCUGCCGCCCAAGCGGACAAGCCCGGGACGGCAACGGCCGCACCGCAGCAGCUCCUCCCGGGGCCCGUGGUGUUCUCCGUGAGGGCGACUGCGGUGGCGGGCGCGCCGGAGUGCGCCAUCUGCCUUGCGGAGCUGGUGGAGGGCGACCGCGUCCACGUUCUGCCGGCCUGCAACCACGGGUUCCACGCGCAGUGCGUCGAGACGUGGUUCGUCGGCCGCUCCUCCUGCCCCACCUGCCGGACCGAGUGCCGUCCGCCGCCGCCGCCGGAACCGUGAGA